CCCCAAGUAAGAAUUUAUUGGGGAUGAUUAAUUUCUCAGCAAUUUACACCAUAUGUAGCCAUUUGUAGCGAAUUCAAUCUAUUUCCUCGUGAACUGUACUUCUAUGAACUCUGCAAAAUAGGCAAUGUUUCUAUUCUUUAUUACGAAACAGUAAUAAUUUCUGUUCAUUAAUGGCCUGAAGAUUGUGGUAGACGGAAAGAACCCCCUGCAUAAAGCAUUUGGUAAACUGGCCGUAAUCUAACUGUAAGGAUUAUGCUCAGAAUGGUGCCCAACCCACAAAUGCCAGCUAAAACUAGGAAUGUCACCUUGAAACAAUCAGGACCUACACAGGUAGAACUUCCUUGCUUGGUAGCUUCUGCAUCAUACACAUAACCAGCAAGCAGCCCGGAUAAAACAAGUGCACCGAUAGGAUUUCCCAGCAACAUAAAGGCAUAAAUUAUGCCAAAAUGUUUCAAGCCGAAAAGUUCAGAGGCAGUUGGCACCAUUAUGGAAUAUAGAAUACCAUAGCAGACACCGAUCAUAGCAGUUGCAACAUAAAGAAUACCAUCAAGAGCUAAUGCAAAUAGAAUGAAUAUCAGGACCAUGAUCAUUUGUGCAAGUGUCAUCCACACAGUUCGAGGAAUUGUUUUUGACCUGACAAAGUGCUCAGAAACAGCACCCGAGCCAAGACGGCCAACAAAAUUGCAAAAGCUGAAGACAGCAAGCAAUAUUGUUGUAUCAUCAAGACCAUAUGCAAUCCCAAUUUGAGCCAAAUUAUUGAGAAUGGUAACUCCAGAACCAACUCCAAGAAAGUAUACCAACCAAAGAAGCCAGAAAUCAGCCUUGAUUAAAGCCUGGGCAAAUUUAAAAUCCUCCCCUCUCUUAGGUUUCCUUUUCUUUUUCACUGCUCCCUCUCCCUCAGCUAGAAGUAUUUCUACAUCUGAAGCAUCCUCACUAUCAAGAAAACUUCCAAGAUAUGAAGCUGAUGAAGAUGGUGUCAACAAAGGAUUUGUUGGGGCCGAUUCACCUACUGCUGAAACCAGACUAUCUGAAGAACCAGUUGCUGG
rnacentral:misc_RNA from 1 species